GCUGAAGAGAAAUAGUGAUCGCUAUUUUAUGGAUAUUCAUUCUUUUAAACCGUUGUGACUCCCCUUCCUCAAAGAUUUGGAGAGCCAUAAAUCAGUGUUUGACACAAAGACUAGAAAAAUGGGAAUGACCAAGAAGGAAUCUCACGCCAAAAAGCUUGGAGAGGGAGAGAAGAAAGAGGAUUAUCAGCAGCAAUAUUAAGGUAGAGGCCACGUGAGAUAAAAUAUAGCACAUUACGUACCUCACACAGGUGUAUGCAAGAGACCUGUGCAAUAUGUAUUAGG
rnacentral:lncRNA from 1 species